GACGGCAUAACUCAGUGGCAGAGCACGUGCUUAGCAUGCAAGAGGUCCUGGGUUCAGUCCCCAGUACCUCCA
rnacentral:tRNA from 1 species